rnacentral:rRNA from 1 species
CCUACGGGAGGCAGCAGUAAGGAAUAUUGGUCAAUGGGCGGAAGCCUGAACCAGCCAUGCCGCGUGCAGGAAGACGGCCCUAUGGGUUGUAAACUGCUUUUGUACCGGAAUAAACCCCCGAACGUGUUCGGGGCUGAAUGUACGGUAAGAAUAAGGAUCGGCUAACUCCGUGCCAGCAGCCGCGGUAAUACGGAGGAUCCGAGCGUUAUCCGGAUUUAUUGGGUUUAAAGGGUGCGUAGGCGGCCUGUUAAGUCAGGGGUGAAAGACGGUAGCUCAACUAUCGCAGUGCCUUUGAUACUGACGGGCUUGAAUGUACUUGAGGUAGGCGGAAUGUGACAAGUAGCGGUGAAAUGCAUAGAUAUGUCACAGAACACCAAUUGCGAAGGCAGCUUACUAAGGUAUGAUUGACGCUGAGGCACGAAAGCGUGGGGAUCAAACAGGAUUAGAUACCCUGGUAGUCCACGCCCUAAACGAUGAAUACUCGAUGUUGGCGAUAUACGGCCAGCGUCUAAGCGAAAGCGUUAAGUAUUCCACCUGGGGAGUACGCCGCAAGGGUGAAACGUCAAAGGAAUUGAGGCUGAGACCGNGCGAGCGACGACGAGGAGGAGG